CCUACGUACCAACCUUUUUUGCAUCCUUUAUUUUGGAAAUGACCUUCACAUGAACAAAGCGCCAUCUUAGUUACUCUGAAAGCCGUCACCUCUGAAACGUCCUGCAACUAAAGUUUUGCUCUACUGUAUGUGUAACUGUUUCUUUAUCAAAACCCCAAGACAACAAAUUUCAGUUUCAUCAAUAGGUUUCAGAGUAGUUGUCAAUCUCUGCAGAAUCGGACGAGCCAUGCCGAGGCUUACCAGGGAAAAAAAAGACGCGCGGAAAGCCAAAGCAGACGCCUUGAAAGCGUCAGAGACGAGCAACACUGGUAAUAAUAAUAAUGCUCCUCCUGCUUCGAAUUGCGCUCCAUGCGGCACAAGCUCUGGUAUUGUAUCGGCAGGAGGACAAACGAGGGUUUUAACGGCGGGAAAAAGCGAACAGGAAAAUGCGACUCAAAGUAAUGCUUCUGCAGCGGUGCAGGAUAAGAGAGCUGAAAAGAGUACGGCUGAAAUUGUAAAGGAGAGAUCAGAUGGCGGAGAAAGGGGGCCGGGAGAAAACAAACACCAAAAGGUAAAUGAAAUUAAUGCUUCUACAGUGGUGCAGGAUAAGAGAGCUGAAAAGAUCAGGGCUGAUAUUGCCAAGGAGAGAUCAGGUGGUGGAGAAAGGGGGCCUUCGCAUAAGUCUGGCGAAGAAGAGGCCGUAAACUUGCGGCCGUCGCAGCUGGAGUCGAGGCAGAAACAAAGGGACGACCGUUCGAGCUUCGCUGGGAACAAGGGUUUCAGACAGGAUUAUAAUGGCAGAAAUUCGAGUGCAUCGCAGAAUUAUGAAGGAUAUAAUUCUAGACAAGGUGGGCAACAUGGGUAUAAUGACAACCGGUGGAGAGGUCGAGGAGGAGAUAAUGAAGGUGACAGCGGACGCAUCAAUGCCCUUGGAAGACUCUUAUCUCGUAUUUUGCGACACCAAGCUCCUCAGUUGGGAUUGAAAGUUAGAAGUGAUGGAUAUGUAGUAGUAAAAGAUUUGUUAAGACUACGUACAAAAACUUCGGCGGGACUGCCUCUUAAUGCUCACUCUGUUGAUGAUUUAAAAGAGGCAGUAAAGAGGGAUGAUAAGCAGCGAUUUGGAUUGCGUGAAGAAAAUGGCCAACUCCUGAUCAGGGCAAAUCAAGGCCAUAGCUUAGAGACAAUAAAUUCAGUGGACUUGUUAGAACCAGUCCUUUCAGCUGAAGAAGUUCCAGUCUGCAUGCAUGGGACUUACAUGGAAUAUUUGGCGUCAAUUAAAAAGGAGGGCCUCAAACGUAUGACAAGGAAUCAUGUACACUUUGCAGCAGGUUACUCUAGGCAGGAUGGUGUAAUCAGUGGAGUGCGACAUGAUUGUGAAGUUUUCAUACAUAUGAAUGUAUCAAAGUACUUAAAUGAUGGCAUGAAGCUCUACCGUUCUGAAAAUGGAGUGAUUUUGGCUGAAGGUCGUGAUGGUGUUGUACCACCUGAAUAUUUUGCUGAAAUAGAAAUUCCUGGAAAGAAAAGAAACAAUAACCUAUGAACAGAAUAUUAUGUUUUAUGCAUACAUAACAGUGGUCUGCAGAUGAAGGAAGGAACAAUCAGCACAAGUUUGAUGUGGGCAAUGGAUCUAUGGACCCAUCUGUUGUAACAGUGCAUGAAAUAUGUUUGAGGAUUGUGGAUCCAAUUAAAGGGUUGCUUUCCAGCUAAUGAAAUAAGUUUAGUAUGGCAAUGGAGGAGUGUACGAACUUGGUAACAUAGUAUAACGACAUUUUUUUUAUCUACGUAUGCAACAAACGGCAUUAAUGAUUUUCGGAAUUUUGAGUGUAAAGAGUGAAUAUGAAUUAAAUCAGUUGAUUGGUCAUUUUAGCUCACAUGCAAAUUUCUAUUUUGCUUAGUUAUGUGGCAAGAUGAAAUAAAUCAAUCAUUCACAAGUAUUUUACGAAUCUGAUAAUAAUUAUGAAUGGCCUUUAGAUCAAAUUGGUCUGAAGGACCUAACAAAGAGCGUGUUGCAGACAUUUGCAUAACCAUUAUUAUUAUAUGAUGGGCAAGCUAAAAAAAUAGUCGUGUUAGAGGAAGAGUGGUGUUAUCUUUUAUAUCAUGCUCUUACAGGGAUAGGGUGGCUGUUUGAGUUUGGAAAAUUGAAAAAUAACGUUGGUUUCUUUUACAAUUUGGCAUUUAUCACUAAAAAGACCCCUAUAUUUUUUUAUAUAGUCAGAUUAUUUUAAAUUUGCAUCA